rnacentral:rRNA from 1 species
GGUUAAGCGACUAAGCGUACACGGUGGAUGCCCUGGCAGUCAGAGGCGAUGAAGGACGUGCUAAUCUGCGAUAAGCGUCGGUAAGGUGAUAUGAACCGUUAUAACCGGCGAUUUCCGAAUGGGGAAACCCAGUGUGUUUCGACACACUAUCAUUAACUGAAUCCAUAGGUUAAUGAGGCGAACCGGGGGAACUGAAACAUCUAAGUACCCCGAGGAAAAGAAAUCAACCGAGAUUCCCCCAGUAGCGGCGAGCGAACGGGGAGCAGCCCAGAGCCUGAAUCAGUGUGUGUGUUAGUGGAAGCGUCUGGAAAGGCGCGCGAUACAGGGUGACAGCCCCGUACACAAAAAUGCACAUGCUGUGAGCUCGAUGAGUAGGGCGGGACACGUGGUAUCCUGUCUGAAUAUGGGGGGACCAUCCUCCAAGGCUAAAUACUCCUGACUGACCGAUAGUGAACCAGUACCGUGAGGGAAAGGCGAAAAGAACCCCGGCGAGGGGAGUGAAAAAGAACCUGAAACCGUGUACGUACAAGCAGUGGGAGCCUCUUUAUGGGGUGACUGCGUACCUUUUGUAUAAUGGGUCAGCGACUUAUAUUCUGUAGCAAGGUUAACCGAAUAGGGGAGCCGAAGGGAAACCGAGUCUUAACUGGGCGUUAAGUUGCAGGGUAUAGACCCGAAACCCGGUGAUCUAGCCAUGGGCAGGUUGAAGGUUGGGUAACACUAACUGGAGGACCGAACCGACUAAUGUUGAAAAAUUAGCGGAUGACUUGUGGCUGGGGGUGAAAGGCCAAUCAAACCGGGAGAUAGCUGGUUCUCCCCGAAAGCUAUUUAGGUAGCGCCUCGUGAAUUCAUCUCCGGGGGUAGAGCACUGUUUCGGCAAGGGGGUCAUCCCGACUUACCAACCCGAUGCAAACUGCGAAUACCGGAGAAUGUUAUCACGGGAGACACACGGCGGGUGCUAACGUCCGUCGUGAAGAGGGAAACAACCCAGACCGCCAGCUAAGGUCCCAAAGUCAUGGUUAAGUGGGAAACGAUGUGGGAAGGCCCAGACAGCCAGGAUGUUGGCUUAGAAGCAGCCAUCAUUUAAAGAAAGCGUAAUAGCUCACUGGUCGAGUCGGCCUGCGCGGAAGAUGUAACGGGGCUAAACCAUGCACCGAAGCUGCGGCAGCGACNNNNNNNNNNNNNNNNNNNNNAUGCUGGAGGUAUCAGAAGUGCGAAUGCUGACAUAAGUAACGAUAAAGCGGGUGAAAAGCCCGCUCGCCGGAAGACCAAGGGUUCCUGUCCAACGUUAAUCGGGGCAGGGUGAGUCGACCCCUAAGGCGAGGCCGAAAGGCGUAGUCGAUGGGAAACAGGUUAAUAUUCCUGUACUUGGUGUUACUGCGAAGGGGGGACGGAGAAGGCUAUGUUGGCCGGGCGACGGUUGUCCCGGUUUAAGCGUGUAGGCUGGUUUUCCAGGCAAAUCCGGAAAAUCAAGGCUGAGGCGUGAUGACGAGGCACUACGGUGCUGAAGCAACAAAUGCCCUGCUUCCAGGAAAAGCCUCUAAGCAUCAGGUAACAUCAAAUCGUACCCCAAACCGACACAGGUGGUCAGGUAGAGAAUACCAAGGCGCUUGAGAGAACUCGGGUGAAGGAACUAGGCAAAAUGGUGCCGUAACUUCGGGAGAAGGCACGCUGAUAUGUAGGUGAAGUCCCUCGCGGAUGGAGCUGAAAUCAGUCGAAGAUACCAGCUGGCUGCAACUGUUUAUUAAAAACACAGCACUGUGCAAACACGAAAGUGGACGUAUACGGUGUGACGCCUGCCCGGUGCCGGAAGGUUAAUUGAUGGGGUCAGCGCAAGCGAAGCUCUUGAUCGAAGCCCCGGUAAACGGCGGCCGUAACUAUAACGGUCCUAAGGUAGCGAAAUUCCUUGUCGGGUAAGUUCCGACCUGCACGAAUGGCGUAAUGAUGGCCAGGCUGUCUCCACCCGAGACUCAGUGAAAUUGAACUCGCUGUGAAGAUGCAGUGUACCCGCGGCAAGACGGAAAGACCCCGUGAACCUUUACUAUAGCUUGACACUGAACAUUGAGCCUUGAUGUGUAGGAUAGGUGGGAGGCUUUGAAGUGUGGACGCCAGUCUGCAUGGAGCCGACCUUGAAAUACCACCCUUUAAUGUUUGAUGUUCUAACGUUGACCCGUGAUCCGGGUUGCGGACAGUGUCUGGUGGGUAGUUUGACUGGGGCGGUCUCCUCCUAAAGAGUAACGGAGGAGCACGAAGGUUGGCUAAUCCUGGUCGGACAUCAGGAGGUUAGUGCAAUGGCAUAAGCCAGCUUGACUGCGAGCGUGACGGCGCGAGCAGGUGCGAAAGCAGGUCAUAGUGAUCCGGUGGUUCUGAAUGGAAGGGCCAUCGCUCAACGGAUAAAAGGUACUCCGGGGAUAACAGGCUGAUACCGCCCAAGAGUUCAUAUCGACGGCGGUGUUUGGCACCUCGAUGUCGGCUCAUCACAUCCUGGGGCUGAAGUAGGUCCCAAGGGUAUGGCUGUUCGCCAUUUAAAGUGGUACGCGAGCUGGGUUUAGAACGUCGUGAGACAGUUCGGUCCCUAUCUGCCGUGGGCGCUGGAGAACUGAGGGGGGCUGCUCCUAGUACGAGAGGACCGGAGUGGACGCAUCACUGGUGUUCGGGUUGUCAUGCCAAUGGCACUGCCCGGUAGCUAAAUGCGGAAGAGAUAAGUGCUGAAAGCAUCUAAGCACGAAACUUGCCCCGAGAUGAGUUCUCCCUGACCCUUUAAGGGUCCUGAAGGAACGUUGAAGACGACGACGUUGAUAGGCCGGGUGUGUAAGCGCAGCGAUGCGUUGAGCUAACCGGUACUAAUGAACCGUGAGGCUUAACCUU